rnacentral:rRNA from 1 species
GAUGAACGCUGGCGGCGUGCUUAACACAUGCAAGUCGAACGAAGCAUUUAAGACAGAUUACUUCGGUUUGAAGUCUUUUAUGACUGAGUGGCGGACGGGUGAGUAACGCGUGGGUAACCUGCCUCAUACAGGGGGAUAGCAGCUGGAAACGGCUGGUAAUACCGCAUAAGCGCACAGUACCACAUGGUACAGUGUGAAAAACUCCGGUGGUAUGAGAUGGACCCGCGUCUGAUUAGCUUGUUGGCGGGGUAACGGCCCACCAAGGCGACGAUCAGUAGCCGACCUGAGAGGGUGACCGGCCACAUUGGGACUGAGACACGGCCCAGACUCCUACGGGAGGCAGCAGUGGGGAAUAUUGCACAAUUGAGGAAACUCUGAUGCAGCGACGCCGCGUGAGUGAAGAAGUAGUUCGCUAUGUAAAGCUCUAUCAGCAGGGAAGAUAGUGACGGUACCUGACUAAGAAGCUCCGGCUAAAUACGUG